UGGAAACUUGGGAGUGCCUUCGGGAGCGCAGAGACAGGUGGUGCAUGGCUGUCGUCAGCUCGUGUCGUGAGAUGUUGGGUUAAGUCCCGCAACGAGCGCAACCCACGUCUUUAGUUGCCAGCAUUUAGUUGGGCACUCUAGAGAGACCGCCGGUGAUAAACCGGAGGAAGGUGUGGAUGACGUCAAGUCAUCAUGCCCCUUACAUCCUGGGCUACACACGUACUACAAUGCUACGGACAAAGGGUUGCAAACUCGCGAGAGCUAGCUAAUCCCAUAAACCGUGGCUCAGUUCAGAUCGUAGGCUGCAACUCGCCUACGUGAAGGAGGAAUCGCUAGUAAUCGCAGGUCAGCAUACUGCGGUGAAUACGUUCCCGGGCCUUGUACACACCGCCCGUCACACCAUGGAAGUUGGCCACGCCCGAAGUCGUUACUCCAACCCGCAAGGGAGGAG
rnacentral:rRNA from 1 species